rnacentral:rRNA from 1 species
UACGUAGGGGCCGAGCGUUGUCCGGAGUUAUUGGGCGUAAAGCGCUCGCAGGUGGUUCGUUGCGUCGUGCGUGAAAGACCCCGGCUCAACUGGGGAGUGUCGUGCGAUACGGGCGAACUGGAGGCCAGUAGGGGGAUGCGGAAUUCCGGGUGUAGUGGUGGAAUGCGUAGAGAUCGGCAGGAACACCCAGGGGGAAACCAGUCGACUGGGCAUCUACUGACGCUGAGGUGCGAGAGCGUGGGGAGCGAACCGG